rnacentral:rRNA from 1 species
UACGUAGGGUGCGAGCGUUGUCCGGAAUUACUGGGCGUAAAGAGCUCGUAGGUGGUUUGUCGCGUUGUCCGUGAAAACUCACAACUCAAUUGUGGGCGUGCGGGCGAUACGGGCAGACUGGAGUACUGCAGGGGAGACUGGAAUUCCUGGUGUAGCGGUGGAAUGCGCAGAUAUCAGGAGGAACACCGGUGGCGAAGGCGGGUCUCUGGGACGUUACUGACGCUGAGGCUCGAAAGCGUGGGGAUCAAACAGG